rnacentral:lncRNA from 1 species
CACUGCACAGGAAGAGUAAUAAACAUCAAGCCUGCGUUUGUGUGCAUGUGCAUUGGUGGCAUUGAGGCAGGAAAGAUUUGGACAGAAUGCUGGAAAGCUGUCAUGCCUACAACAUCAGAGUUAGUGAUUUUGUCCUUCGAGUGUGUAUUCCAGAAAGUAAGACACCGUAUAUUCUGGAGAAAUUCUGAGAAACAGAAGAAACAAAUGUCAAACAGUGAAGAGCUAAUCCUUAUACUAUAAAGGAAACUGUAUAUGAUUGUUCUCUACUAUGUGAAAGGGGAUCUCACCAUUGGUGUUAUUGUGCCAGGUUUUCAGGGACCAGGUCAAAAGAGUAUGAGUGGGUGCUUUAUACACUCUGUUACUUGUUUUUCAUGUUUCAUUCAGAGCAAAAUAGAUUCUCUGUUUUUCUUCCAAUAAAAGUUUUAAACUGAAAGAUAUCUGUCCCCA